rnacentral:lncRNA from 1 species
CGAGCGGGAGGAGGGUGCUCCCCCUCCAGGUGACUCACAAACAUGGAUCUGCCUAAGGCUGGUAACUGCUUUUAGAGGGAGGUGUUUUAAUGGUUUCUGCAGACGAAGAAACUGUGCCCAGGUUCACUCAGAGGGCACGGGCCAGAGUCAAGGCUAAACCGUGGGCACCCAUCAGUGGUGCCUGGCCUAACAUAUGGCGCUGGCUCGGGGUAAACCCACCGAGAUGGACGGCAGGUGGGAUCCUGAUGGUCAUCGUGCACCCGACCUGCAGGUGCCUGCACGCUGGCAUUGAAUUGCAGUACCGGAGCUCUUUCUUCCCUCACCACCGAGUGCAGACAACCACGGUCACUUCUCACGGCACAGUUCCUAACACAACUCUGCCCCGCUGCGGUACCCAGCCGAUUUCUCCAGAAAAGGCUGCCCAGGACCCUGGCGGCCGGCCCUGCCUCCUGGGUGCGGGCCGGGCAGCAACGGCUGGUCUGAGCCCGGGGGCUCCCCGCAUCACCAGACUCUGCUGUGCUCUUUCCCUGCCUUUG